GAGCACAUCCCAGCCUGUGUUGAAGGGAUGAACAACCUAACUGGCUUCCAUUUCGUCUUCCCCCCAUGGCCAUUUUCCUGCAGCCUACACCAGUGGUGAUGACCUGGGCGAUCUCAUGAGGUAGUGGGUCCCUCUAUUUUUGGGGCCCCUCCAUCUUGUCAGCUCUGUUUAAAGUUCCCCCUUGGAGCAGGAGUCCCAUAGACUGGAAAUGGAAACAUGUCCUGCUUUUCAGUAGAGGGACAAGUAAGGGUCCCCAUGAAAGGCUGGUAUGAGGUCACUUCGUAUCUUACAGUGUUGGUGUCAUAGAUGGAAACCUGCAGCCAGGAGUGGGUCUUAGGAGUCGGUAUUGUCAAAUCAAAUGAAAAAAUAUAGACUUUUAUGGUAUCUGGUCUGGUAGGUCAAGAGACUGCCUCAGCCCUGGUUUUACCCAGGGAGUUGGCAAUCUCCUGACACCUGUGAUGGGUGAAGGACACAUUCCACGUGUGAGGAAGAGAGCUGAUGUGGAGGGGCACUCAGGGUAGUGGCUCCCCUUUCACUUAUGAGUGACUUCAGUGAAGAUACUCAGAUGUGUAGGUGUAUUUACUUGGACCCCAGCUCACGGAAGGCCAGACACCAAGAUUUAGCAGAGGUGGAGGAGUGGGUCAGAUUCAACAGAUAAUCUAUUAAAGAUCAAUAAAACACAAAAACAGUGUCUGUGUGGUUCACGUGGUCCGCUGCUGCAUCAGAUACUGUUGAGAAGAGCAGGGGCUUCAGAUACCAAGCUUCGAGGCAGCCAGCAUUGGGGCAGGCGGUGAGAGAGCUUAUGGGUUGUGGGGUUAAGAUGGAAUCGUAAAGUGCCCAUCUCCCAUGGGCCGAUGGGGAUGGAGGGACGGUGUGGAGCAGUGGGGCCUAGAAAGCAGCUCGGGACAAACUGUUAGGCACCAGCUUCCCGAAAGCAUCAGACAGCGAGAGCUAUUCCCUCAGGCCAAAGGAUGGGUACCCCAGGGAAAGGGAGCAACGGGGAACACACUAAGAACUUUGUUACUAUGGGAACGUCCAGCUGUUGGCACUUCCUCAGUACAGCUUGGUAGAGAUUUCCCCUGACUUUGG
rnacentral:lncRNA from 1 species